ensembl:lncRNA
GAGAGAGAGAGAGAGAGAGAGAGAGAGAAGGAGUCUCUGGGAUGGAUGAGGCUAAUAUUUCAGGAGAGACAGAGGGAGAAGGAGUCUCUGGGAUGGAUAAGGCUAAUAUUUCAGGAGAGACAGAGGGAGAAGGAGUCUCUGGGAUGGAUAAGGCUAAUAUUUCAGGAGAGACAGAAGGGGUAUCUGGGAUGGAUGAGGCUAAUAUUUCAGGAGAGACGGAGUAGGGGUAUCAGGGAUGGAUGAGGCUAAUAUUUCAGGAGAGACGGAGAAGGGGUAUCUGGGAUGGAUGAGGCUAAUAUUUCAGGAGACAGAAGGAGAAGGGGUCUCUGGGAUGGCCCCUGGAUGAGUCUGAAGGGAAGUGUGUAUCACUUUCUCAUAAACUGUUCUAACUCACCACUCAGCCUGUUCCCACUGGAGGCUACAGCAGUCAGUAAUAAUGCUCUAAGUUGUACACACACUCUGUGAAGAACCGCUUGGUCUCUGGUUCACUCAACCACAAACAUGAUGAUGACUCCCACAGUUAGACAGAGUACGAGUGCAGUUUCGUGUAUGACUAAAAAUGAAUAUUCUCUCCAUGGUGCCCUCCUACACACGCACGGACACGCACGGACACGCACGGACACGCACGGACACGCACACGCACGCACGGACACGCACGGACACGCACGGACACGCACGGACACGCACGGACACGCACGGACACGCACGGACACGCACGGACACGCCACACGCACGGACACGCACGGACACAAAUAUAUACACACACACCGACUAACGUCUUUAAAAACACAGGUCACUGUUUUCAUGAGGUUAUUGAUGUCAUUCUGUAAAAAGUGUCAGUGAACUUCUCCAGGAAACCUGGCAAGUAGUUUUCCUGGUGUGAUGUCACCACCUUGGUCUGUGUUCACGGUUCCCAUUAGUUUUCCUGGUGUGAUGUCACCACCUUGGUCUGUGUUCACGGUUCCCAUUCGUUUUCCUGGUGUGAUGUCACCACCUUGGUCUGUGUUCACGGUUCCCAUUAGUUUUCCUGGUGUGAUGUCGCCACCUAGUGGUCUUGUGUAUUAUUAGCUUCUAACCAGUACAACAAGAGGAGGAUGCAGUUAGGCAUUUAUUGUCAUGAAUCUUGCCCUGGAGGCAGCUUGCAGAGUGGUCACUAGCUGGCACAGCCAUAAAGUCAGAAAAUAUACAUUUGAACCUAACCUUAAGCACACUGCUAACCCUAAUGACUAAUCCCAAACUUAAAUGAAGACCAAAAAGCAAAUGUUUGUUUUCAUGAAUUUUUACAAUACAGCCUAUUUUGACUUUGCAGCUGGCCCAUGUAAUGAAAAUCACACAGUUCUACCUCCAGGGCAAGAUUAAUGACAAUAAACGUCAACCUGCGAGAAGGAUGGGCCUCCUCCCGUAUGAGGGAGAUCGCGUCCUCUCUCUCCUCGUCUCCUUCUCAAAAACACAUUGGAAAAAAGCUAGAGGUCCUUCCCCUCUGAUCUUCUCCUCCGGUGGGUUUUGAGACGAGGAGAUAUUAAGUUUCUCCAUGACUCUUGUUUCUCUCAAGGUUUCUUCCUUCGAAGGAGAUGUUGACUUGCCACUCUACUGCUGCUUGCAUAGGGAUCUAGAACGGCUUACGGUAAAAGCACUUUGUGACUGAUGAUAUAGAAAGGGAUUUAUGGAUAGAAUUUGAUUUGUUUAGCAGCAGGUAAGGAUGAGACGUAAAAAACAUGUAAAAUCCACAUAGAUCACAAUGAUACACCAUGACAACAACACAAUGAUACACCAUGACAACAACACAAUGAUACACCAUGACAACAACACAAUGAUACACCAUGACAACAACACAAUGAUACACCAUGACAACAACACAAUGAUACACCAUGACAACAACACAAUGAUACACCAUGACAACAACACAAUGAUACACCAUGACAACAACACAAUGAUACGCCAUGACAACAACACAAUGAUACACCAUGACAACAACACAAUGAUACACAAAGACAACAACACAAUGAUACACCAUGACAACAACACAAUGAUACACCAUGACAACAACACAAUGAUACACCAUGACAACAACACAAUGAUACACCAUGACAACAACACAAUGAUACGCCAUGACAACAACACAAUGAUACACCAGAACAACAACACAAUGAUACACAAAGACAACAACACAAUGAUACGCCAUGACAACAACACAAUGAUACACCAUGACAACAACACAAUGAUACACCAUGACAACAACACAAUGAUACACCAUGACAACAACACAAUGAUACACCAUGACAACAACACAAUGAUACGCCAUGACAACAACACAAUGAUACACCAGAACAACAACACAAUGAUACACAAAGACAACAACACAAUGAUACACCAUGACAACAACACAAUGAUACACCAGAACAACAACACAAUGAUACACCAUGACAACAACACAAUGAUACACACUGACAACAACACAAUGAUUCACCAGGACAACAACACCAUGACAAUAACACAAUAAUACACACUGACAACAACACAAU